GCCCCAGUAACGGCGAGUGAAGCGGCAACAGCUCAAAUUUGAAAUCUGGCCCCCCCCCGCGGGGGCCCGAGUUGUACUUUGGAGAGGAUGCUUUGGGCGCGGCGCCUUCCGAGUUCCUUGGAACAGGACGCCAGAGAGGGUGAGAGCCCCGUACGGUCGGACGCCCAGCCCGUGCAAAGCUCCUUCGACGAGUCGAGUAGUUUGGGAAUGCUGCUCAAAAUGGGAGGUAAAUUUCUUCUAAAGCUAAAUACUGGCCAGAGACCGAUAGCGCACAAGUAGAGUGAUCGAAAGAUGAAAAGCACUUUGAAAAGAGGGUUAAACAGCACGUGAAAUUGUUGAAAGGGAAGCGCCUGCGACCAGACGCGCCGCCCGUGGCCCACCCGGCGCCCUGCGCCGGGGCACGCCGCGGGCGGCGGGCCAGCAUCGGCUUCCGCCAGGGGGACAAGGGCCGCGGGAACGUAGCUCCCUCCGGGGAGUGUUAUAGCCCGCGGCGCCAUGCCCCUGGGGGGGCCGAGGACCGCGCUCGCAAGAGC
rnacentral:rRNA from 1 species